GACGUAGGAUGCGAGCGUUAUUCGGAUUUAUUGGGCGUAAAGCGUGCGUAGGCGGCUGUUUAAGUCUGGUGUUAAAGCUAGGGGCUCAACCCCUGUGGUGCACUGGAAACUGGGCAGCUUGAGUGCGGUAGGGGAAGGUGGAAUUCCGAGUGUAGCGGUGAAAUGCGUAGAUAUUCGGAAGAACACCGGUGGCGAAGGCGACCUUCUGGGCCGCAACUGACGGCUGAGGCACGAAAGCCUGGGGAGCGAACGGG
rnacentral:rRNA from 1 species